rnacentral:rRNA from 1 species
UACAGAGGGGGCAAGCGUUGUUCGGAAUUACUGGGCGUAAAGGGCGCGUAGGCGGCCUGUUAAGUCGAACGUGAAAUCCCCGGGCUCAACCCGGGAACUGCGUCCGAUACUGGCAGGCUUGAAUCCGGGAGAGGGAUGCGGAAUUCCAGGUGUAGCGGUGAAAUGCGUAGAUAUCUGGAGGAACACCGGUGGCGAAGGCGGCGAUCCUGGACCAACACUGACGCUGAGUGAGCGAAAGCCAGGGGAGCAAACGGG